rnacentral:rRNA from 1 species
GACAGAGGUGCCGAGCGUUAGGCGGAAUCACUGGGCUUAAAGCGUGUGUAGGCGGACUUCUAAGUACCUUGUGAAAUCCCACGGCUCAACCGUGGAACUGCUUGGUAUACUGGUUGUCUUGAGCCACUUAGGGGCAGUCGGAACAGACGGUGGAGCGGUGAAAUGCGUAGAUAUCGUUUGGAACGCCAACGGUGAAAACAGCUCGCUGGGGGUGUGCUGACGCUGAGACACGAAAGCCAGGGGAGCGAACGGG